rnacentral:misc_RNA from 1 species
CCAAUAGCGUAUAUUAAAGUUGUUGCAGUUAAAAAGCUCGUAGUUGAAUUUCGGAGUUUAUCGGUUGGUCGGGCUUCACUGUCCGCACUGACCUGAUGGAUUCCUACCUUCUGAAUAACCAGCAUGCUAUUAAGUUAGUGCGUUGGGGAAGCAGAGCUAUUACCUUGAAAAAAUUAGAGUGCUUAAAGCAGGCUUAUGCUUGAAUAGAUUAGCAUGGAAUAAUAAAAUAGGACGGCAUGGUUCUAUUUUGUUGGUUUCUAGGAUCACCGUAAUGAUUAAUAGGGAUAGUUGGGGGCAUUAGUAUUCAAUUGUCAGAGGUGAAAUUCUUGGAUUUAUUGAAGACUAACUUCUGCGAAAGCAUUUGCCAAGGAUGUUUUCAUUAAUCAAGAACGAAAGUUAGGGGAUCGAAGACGAUCAGAUACCGUCGUAGUCUUAACCAUAAACUAUGCCGACUAGGGAUCGGACGAUGUUAAUUUUUUAAUGACUCGUUCGGCGCCUUACG